GGGGUGAGUGCGUAGAGUAGUGGUAUGUCCGGGAAAGCUAUGGGUUAAUUUAAGACUAGCAGCAAAGCCUGUUGCCAAUUAGUGAGCGCCACAUGUGGAGCAGUGGAAGCUCUCAGAGGGGGCAAAGCGGGCAGAGACAUGCACAACACGGUGCGCGCAAUGGAGACGAGCUGAGAAAAGUGAGGAAAUCUCAGUUUCAGGCUAUCGGGUGUAAACGGGUGAUGGAUUUAUCAGAAUAGAGAUGAUCAAAGAGAAGGAAUAAGUCUUUGCGUCCGAAGGUGUCCAUACACUCAGCCAAGUCUGGUAACUUUACGCAUUUAAGGAUUGCAACAUGGCACAUGUCUCAGCUUUGUAUUUACUCUUCAUCAUCAUACUUGGCACUGAUGGCGCCUCUGAGGUGUGCCGGGGAGGGCACUGCUUCCCUGGACAGGACUGGAGCAGACCGUGCGUCGGAGCGCACUGCCAGGGGCGCACGGUGCUGGCAUCUACACCAAAGCGGCAGUUUUACCCCUCUGCGCAUUCCAGACAGACACAAACCCAUCCAAGCUACCAACGGGAUGCUCAGUACAGUCAGCAACAAGCCCACAAUCCUCCUCCAGCAGCCUACACUGUCAUCCAGCCACAGCAGCAGCACGGCGCUUUUACGCAGCCCGGCGCGGGCACGGAUGGCGCCAGAAGGACGAACCCCAGAACCAUCACAGCGGAGGUGUUUCAUCCAGGCUGUGCCGGAGGAACCUGUUCCACCACUGGUUCUCAUCAAACCUCAGGCGAUGAUGGAGCUGGUGGACGAGAAUGUAAAGGGAUUGGAUGCAAACUGCCCACUAGAAUGCGUCCAAAGCACCACCCAGCGUGCGUCGGGGACAGCUGCGGGGCGCACGCGAUUGAUGAUGGGGGGUUGUACCCUUCACCUCAGCACGUGACGGACAGGGCAGCGCAAUACCUGGAUGAGUUCUCAGACUUAGGAACGGAGCGUGGUGCGCACAUACAGCUGGCGUGUGACAUAAAACCAGGAAACAACGAGGUUCCCUCAGAGGAUGCUCUUGUGAUGCAGCUGCAGCUCUCCAGGGGACAGGAGAAGUUUGUUGAGGCCCUCAGGGGCCAACAAACCGAGAUCAGAGAGUUGCAGAGGCUUCUCAGUGAACAGCAGGGGGCGCUGGUGAACCAGCAGAGAGAAAUACUGGAGCAGCAGAGGAGGAUGUAUGAACAGAUGGAGCAAGUUAAAGCCCAGUACAAUGUAAUGAUGGACAGCAUUAAACAAACGUCUAUCCACAACGUGCAGGGAGAGCUAGAUAGUCCCAUGGAGCGCAUGGGUGGACAGGUCAGGUCUCCCCAGGCUCAGCAAGCUCUGUCUUUACACAAGGUGGACAUGGAGGCCAGUGUGAUGGAGGUGGGUCGAACAGUAGAAGCCUGUGGCGCCUGUGGUCCAGAUGAAUACUGUGAUUUUAGUAGCGGCCGUCCUCACUGUGAGAGGUGCACGAUCUGCCCCGCUGGUUUUUUUCUUGUUGCUCAGUGUUCGGUGCAUGCAGACAGGAUAUGCCAGGACAGAGAUGAAUGUCUGGAAAUAGCUAAUCUGUGUGGAGAUAGCCAGAAAUGUGUCAACACACCAGGUGGGUUCCGGUGCCAGGGCAUGAUUGAGCGAGACGCUAACUCAGGGAUGUGUGGCCACGGCUACUUUUUUAGCUUGAACAUGGAGGAGUGUCAGGCCUGCAGUGAGUGUGAUGGAGAACGAGUGGCUUCUCCUUGUACCUUCACCACAGAUACCAUCUGCUCUGGCCCUGCCGCUGAUGGCACUUUCGGCGACGGCGCUCUCUCCAUGUCCUGGGCUGGAGAUGUGAGUUUACUCGGAGUGAAAGAAAACAACCUGGUUCAUGGCUUCUCCAGCCUACAGCUUCACAUUAAGGGUAGAGGCGAUGGAAGUCUAGUAUCUGUGGAGGAAGGGCGUCUGGUUUACCGUCUGCAUGGUUUGGUCUGGCUGGAUGAAAAUCUCUCCGUGAACCAUGGCUGUCGCAGCUUCAUCCAGUUGUGCCUUCGUAUGAACAACACGGAUGCCUCCGAAGGUCGUGAUGUCAGUGGCGUGCGAGUUGAACAGCGGGAGCAACGUACGCUCCAAAGCGCCACCAUCAGUGGGGUAGCCGAAGUUGCCCCCGGUCACAUCAUGUCCCUUCACCUGCGUAGUGCUUCCAACCCUUGUAAUCAGAGCAAUGAGGGCUUGAAGGUGUACAAUCCUUCUGCGCACCCCCUCAGCCUCCUUUGGCUAUCUCAUGACACCGGGGCUGUUGCCAUGACGGCUCAAGCAGUUCUUUCUGCUCAUUACCACACAAACUAUCGCCCUGUUUUCCGUACCAUCUCCACCUCAGACCCCUAUGUGGUGGGACUGACUCAUGAUGGCCGAGGCAUUCGAUUUGCAGAGAGUGGAACUGUGCGUUUUGUUUUCCAGCAGGCGCUGUACUCCAUGGGCCAGAUGUGUGUAUCGGAGGGCUUCCAAAUUGUGGCGUACCUAAACCACAAUGCAACAAGUAAGGAGUUAUUCCGUGCUUUUAAACCUGGCGUUCACUACAGGGACACGUCACUAUCUCUGUCAGGAGUAGCUCAGGUGAGCUCAGGGGACAUGCUGGGUUUUGAAAUCACUUCUCCUGCCCAGUGUAACGUACGCUACUUUGGUGAUGAGACUGGCAUCAGCAUUCUCAGCCUGGUCUGGAUCCCUUCUGCCAUUUCUUCUUCCCUGUCCGCCUCUCUGGCCAGCACUGGCCUUCCCUCGGGAGCAGUGAGAAAUAAGCCAUUGUUUUUCCACCAAACAAGCCCUCAGGUGUCCCAAAUAAGGCUACUCGCCAAGGGAUCUGUGGAUCAGGGGCGGGAUCUUGUCUUCAAGGAAAGCGGUACUGCAAGUCUAGCUCUGGACCUAAAAGUCAUUCACUCUUGCAGCUUGAUCAGAUUGACUCUGUUUAGACGAAGUGAUGCAGCAGGAUCAGGAUCAGGCCGUGACGUAGAGGCACAGAGGCCAGUGCCCUUGGUGCAGCAGGUGGCCGGUCAGAUGGCUGAAGGCACUCAGUGGGCCAGUGUGGCUCUACGAGCCUCCUUCCAGGUUCACAACGGCACUGCAGUCUUUUUUACACUCGAUUGUGUGCGAGGACGAAUCAACCAGCUCAGUCACCAAAGUGGAAGUGGGAUGUCAGUCCUCUGGGUGGCAUCGCAGUAAAAUAAAGACUCCGGUUAGUUUUUAGGAAUUUUUCUA
rnacentral:lncRNA from 1 species